rnacentral:piRNA from 1 species
UUCUCAUGUACUUUAUAGCCUGCUGACUUC